rnacentral:misc_RNA from 1 species
AAGAUGAAGGCGAUGAACCGCUUCUUCGAAGAGGGCGACAAGGUCAAGGUGACCCUGAAAUUCCGUGGCCGCGAAAUGGCCCACCAGGAACUUGGCAUGAAGCUUUUGCUUCAGGUCAAGGAAGACACCGCCACGAUCGCCAAGGUGGAAGCCGAGCCGAAGCUCGAAGGCCGCCAGAUGAUGAUGGUGCUCUCGCCGCGUUGAGUGCUGCCACAUGGCAGGACCUGAUGAAGCCGCCUUACGGGGCGGCUUUUUUCAUGCGUGGUUUUUGCCGGUUCCUUGUCUGACAGA